rnacentral:rRNA from 1 species
UUUCCCGUAGGGGGGACCUGCGGAAGGAUCAUUACCGAGUGUAGGGUUCCUAGCGAGCCCAACCUCCCACCCGUGUUUACUGUACCUUAGUUGCUUCGGCGGGCCCGCCAUUCAUGGCCGCCGGGGGCUCUCAGCCCCGGGCCCGCGCCCGCCGGAGACACCACGAACUCUGUCUGAUCUAGUGAAGUCUGAGUUGAUUGUAUCGCAAUCAGUUAAAACUUUCAACAAUGGAUCUCUUGGUUCCGGCAUCGAUGAAGAACGCAGCGAAAUGCGAUAACUAGUGUGAAUUGCAGAAUUCCGUGAAUCAUCGAGUCUUUGAACGCACAUUGCGCCCCCUGGUAUUCCGGGGGGCAUGCCUGUCCGAGCGUCAUUGCUGCCCAUCAAGCACGGCUUGUGUGUUGGGUCGUCGUCCCCUCUCCGGGGGGGACGGGCCCCAAAGGCAGCGGCGGCACCGCGUCCGAUCCUCGAGCGUAUGGGGCUUUGUCACCCGCUCUGUAGGCCCGGCCGGCGCUUGCCGAACGCAAAUCAAUCUUUUCCAGGUUGACCUCGGAUCAGG